CUGUGGUGGACGCCUCGAGCGGAGCGGUUUAACCCAGAUUGCUCCUAUCCUCGCUCCCAACCGCGCCGUUUUCGAUCCUCAGGCGACCCAGCUGACGGACCGAUCGACUGUGGUAGACGCCUCGAGCGGAGCGGUUUAACCCAGAUUGCUCCUAUCCUCGCUCCCAACCGCGCCGUUUUCGAUCCUCAGGCGACCCAGCUGACGGACCGAUCGACUGUGGUAGACGCCUCGAGCGGAGCGGUUUAACCCAGAUUGCUCCUAUCCUCGCUCCCAACCGCGCCGUU